rnacentral:rRNA from 1 species
UGUGUAGGCGGUGUUCUAAGUCUGUUGUGAGAUCUCCCGGCUUAACUGGGAGGGUGCGGCGGAGACUGGAAUGCUAGAGUAUGGGAGAGGUAAGCGGAAUUCCUGGUGUAGCGGUGAAAUGCGUAGAUAUCAGGAGGAACACCUGUGGUGUAGACAGCUUACUGGACCAUGACUGACGCUGAGACACGAAAGCGUGGGUAGCAAACAGGAUUAGAUACCCUGGUAGUCCACGCCCUAAACGAUGCAUACUUGGUGUGAGCCAUUCAUUUGGUUCGUGCCGGAGCUAACGCGUUAAGUAUGCCGCCUGGGGAGUAUGGUCGCAAGGCUGAA